rnacentral:rRNA from 1 species
AUUGCACGCUGGCGGCAGGCUUAACACAUGCAAGUCGCGCGAGCGGCGGACGGGUGAGUAAUGUCUGGGAAACUGCCUGAUGGAGGGGGAUAACUACUGGAAACGGUAGCUAAUACCGCAUACCAUCAGAUGUGCCCAGAUUGGAUUAGCUAGUUGGUGGGGUAAUGGCUCACCUAGGCGACGAUCCCUAGCUGGUCUGAGAGGAUGACCUGCCACACAGGAACUGAGACACGGUCCAGACUCCUACGGGAGUCAGCAGUGGAGAUUAUUGAACAAUGGGCGCAAGCCUGAUGCAUCCAUGCCGCGUGUGUGAAGAAGGCUUUCGGCUUGUAAAGCACUUUCAGCGAGGAGGCGUUACUCACAGAAGAAGCACCGGCUAACUCCGUGCCAGCAGCCGCGGUAAUAC